rnacentral:rRNA from 1 species
GAUGAACGCUGGCGGCGUGCUUAACACAUGCACGUUGAACGAAGUGGCGGAUGGGCGAGUAACACGUGAGGAACCUGCCUUUCACAGGGGAAUAACACUGGGAAACCAGUGCUAAUACCGCAUAGUGAAAGAUGGCCUCGCGCCUGAUUAGCUAGUAGGUGAGGUAACGGCGCACCUAGGGUAUGAUCAGUAGCAGGAAUGAAGGUUUAUCGGCCGCAUUGGGACUGAGACACGGCCCAGACUCCUACGGGAGGCAGCAGUGGGAAAGAUUGGGCAAGAGCGCAAGCCUGACCCAGGAACGACGCGUGAGGGAAGACGGGCUUCGGAUUGUAAACUGCUAUAGACAGGGACGCGGUACCUGUAGAAUAAACCACGGCUGACUACGUGCCAGCAGCCACGGUGAUUC